rnacentral:lncRNA from 1 species
AGAUAAAACUGGAGGGUACAGAGAGUCACUUAGCAACAACAGAACUGCUAAUGAAGAAAUGCUAACCUGCUGAUAAAUUUGUGCACGGAAAACUGAUAAAGCCUCAUUUGUCAGAUAUAGAACAAAUAAGCCUCCAAUAACUGGGAAGCAAUAACAGGUUAACAUUUUCUUUUGGAAUACUAUUACAAAAAUCCAAAACUAAUAUAUUAGUUUGCUACAGAUAGUUUCUUAAUAAGUUUAGUUCGAAACCAAUUUCACAAACCAGUGAAUUUGACACAGCCAUUUUGAUGGAUAGUAAGAGCAGAGCCAUGGGACUGAACAAAGUCCAAUAGUGCAGAUCAGUCAUUUAGAGAAGUUAAACGGGCAUAGGCACUCAAACACUCGGUGAAAAAAAUCUAGGAACACAUAUAGAGAGAAGGAGGCUCAGAAGGAAUCUCACAUCUCCAUCAAAAUCACAGUUGAAUUUGACGCCAUCGUCCUGCUCUUCUAGUUGUUAUCAGUUUCGUCCUGUGUGCAUAUAUGCAUAUGGAAAAAAAUCAGAAGCAUCCGGCCAAUAAAGAGGUAACACCAGCAUUCAUAUUUGGACUUGAGCCAUUAGAAAUUGUGCAGUUAUGAAAUCUUGACAACUUUUGCACCAGCAUUGCAAGCAGAUAAAGCCUAUGAAUGCCAAAAAGCAAAUAUGCCAAAGAACAAAAAUAUGGUUGCAUAGCUCAGAAGUGCUUUACCUGAAUUUGAUGGAAGUUCACACAUCAAGUGAUACAUA